UUUCAAAUCCCUUACCAAAAUAUAUGAGUUCCAAUCACACAUAUAUAUAACUGAGGACAGAAGUGGUAACAAAAUACAAAAUAUCAAAAUACAAAGGACCACUUCUUUCAUUAUGUGAUUGGACUCAUUAGAGUGCACGACAAGUCCUGCACUCAAGGGUUUGUAGAUCCAUGUGAUCCUCAUAGACUCCAAGGGGUAGGUCAGCGAUUAGUUCCUUACUAUCUUCGUAAUUUGGGGGGAGUAUGGAAAUGGUGAGUUCUAUAUACUUAGUAAGAAAAACAACAUUUAAAUAAUAACAUAAGAUUUUAAGAGUGAAUAAUUAUAUCAUUAAUACUUACUAUCAUGUCACGUCAGGGUCCUUUCUUAUUUUAUGAAAAUAAUUUUAUUUAUUAAAAGAAACAUCAUGUCAUAGUCACAACAAUCAAAUCAAAAUCAUACUUAACAAUAGAAAAAAUAAAAUAAAUAAUGAAAUGCUUAGAUUUUUGUGUCAUCCUUCAUGAAAUUGUUCCAACUUCCAUCUGUGAGGGCAAAUACGAAUUUUUGACUACCCAUGUGGAAUGACUAGAUUAGAUAUAUAACGGCAAUUCGUUCAAGCACAUUUCUGGCUUGUCAAACUAUGGUAUAAUCUGUGACCAUGGUCGUACCAACCAAAGUGGUUCUAUCAGAUAUUCUAUAGUCAUGACAGUACUUAGCCAAAGGUGACCCCUAAUAGAUAAUCACAUCACCGCUCUCGUCAGAGGGUACACCGACAUCUACAGAGAGCGGCGUCUUUUUAGACUAAAUAGGGGAGGAAAAAAAAGAAAACCCUCAGAGAUAAA
rnacentral:lncRNA from 1 species